rnacentral:rRNA from 1 species
AGAGCGAACGCUGGCGGCAGGCUUAACACAUGCAAGUCGAGCGGAUGUAGCAAUACAUCAGCGGCAGACGGGAUAGUAACACGUGGGAACGCGCCCUUUGGUUCGGAAUAACUCAGGGAAACUUGAGCUAAUACCGGAUAAGCCCUUACGGGGAAAGAUUUAUCGCCAAAGGAACGGCCCGCGUCCGAUUAGCUAGUUGGUGAGGUAAUGGCUCACCAAGGCGACGAUCGGUAGCUGGUCUGAGAGGAUGACCAGCAUCACUGGGACUGAGACACGGCCCAGACUCCUACGGGAGGCAGCAGUGGGGAAUAUUGGACAAUGGGCGCAAGCCUGAUCCAGCCAUGCCGCGUGGAUGAUGAAGGCCCUAGGGCUGUAAAGUCCGUUUUAACGGGGAAGAUAAUGACGGUACCGUAGAAUAAGCCCGGACUAACUCGUGCCAGCAGCCGC